rnacentral:rRNA from 1 species
CCUANGGGAGGCAGCAGUGGGGAAUUUUGGACAAUGGGGGCAACCCUGAUCCAGCCAUGCCGCGUGCGGGAAGAAGGCCUUCGGGUUGUAAACCGCUUUUGGUCGGGAAGAAAGGGCGCCGGAUAACACCUGGCGCUGUUGACGGUACCGGCAGAAUAAGCACCGGCUAACUACGUGCCAGCAGCCGCGGUAAUACGUAGGGUGCGAGCGUUAAUCGGAAUUACUGGGCGUAAAGCGUGCGCAGGCGGUGAGUUAAGUCUGCUGUGAAAGCCCCGGGCUCAACCUGGGAACGGCAGUGGAAACUGGCUCGCUGGAGUAUGGCAGAGGGGGGUGGAAUUCCGCGUGUAGCAGUGAAAUGCGUAGAGAUGCGGAGGAACACCGAUGGCGAAGGCAGCCCCCUGGGCCAAUACUGACGCUCAGGCACGAAAGCGUGGGGAGCAAACAGGAUUAGAUACCCCGNUANUC